rnacentral:rRNA from 1 species
CAACAGGGAUGCCUCAGUAACGGCGAGUGAAGCGGCAACAGCUCAAAUUUGAAAUCUGGCGCCCUCGGCGUCCGAGUUGUAAUUUGUAGAGGAUGCUUCGGCGAGGGCCCCCGUCUAAGUCCCUUGGAACAGGGCGUCGCAGAGGGUGAGAAUCCCGUAUGUGAUGGGCAGCCCGAGCCGUGUGAAGCUCCUUCGACGAGUCGAGUUGUUUGGGAAUGCAGCUCUAAAUGGGAGGUAAAUUUCUUCUAAAGCUAAAUACCGGCCAGAGACCGAUAGCGCACAAGUAGAGUGAUCGAAAGAUGAAAAGCACUUUGGAAAGAGAGUUAAAAAGUACGUGAAAUUGUUGAAAGGGAAGCGCUUGCAACCAGACUCGCGCGCAGUCGCUCAGCCGGUCUCCUGACCGGUGUACUCUUCUGCGUCCGGGCCAGCAUCGGUUCGGGCGGUCGGAUAAAGGCCCCGGGAAUGUGGCUCCCCUCGGGGAGUGUUAUAGCCCGGGGUGCAAUGCGGCCAGCCCGGACCGAGGAACUCGCUUCGGCUAGGAUGCUGGCGUAAUGGUUGUAAGCGGCCCGUCUUGAAACACGGACCAAGGAGUCUAACAUCUAUGCGAGUGUUUGGGUGUCAAACCCAUGCGCGUAAUGAAAGUGAACGGAGGUGGGAACCCUCACGGGUGCACCAUCGACCGAUCCUGAUGUCUUCGGAUGGAUUUGAGUAAGAGCAUAGCUGUUGGGACCCGAAAGAUGGUGAACUAUGCCUGAAUAGGGUGAAGCCAGAGGAAACUCUGGUGGAGGCUCGCAGCGGUUCUGACGUGCAAAUCGAUCGUCAAAUUUGGGUAUAGGGGCGAAAGACUAAUCGAACCAUU